GGGAAUGUGGCUCAGUGGAAGAGUACUUGUCUAGCAUACAUGAGACUCUGGGUUUGAUCCCCAGACUGCCUU
rnacentral:tRNA from 1 species